rnacentral:rRNA from 1 species
UACGUAGGGGGCAAGCGUUGUCCGGAAUCAUUGGGCGUAAAGAGCGUGUAGGCGGCCCGAUAAGUCCGCUGUGAAAGUCCAGGGCUCAACCCUGGGAUGCCGGUGGAUACUGUCGGGCUCGAGUCCGGAAGAGGAGUGUGGAAUUCCUGGUGUAGCGGUGAAAUGCGCAGAUAUCAGGAGGAACACCGAUGGCGAAGGCAGCUCGCUGGGACGUGACUGACGCUGAGACGCGAAAGCGUGGGGAGCAAACAGG